rnacentral:rRNA from 1 species
CCUACGUGGAGCAGCAGUGGGGAAUAUUGGACAAUGGGCGAAAGCCUGAUCCAGCCAUGCCGCGUGUGUGAAGAAGGCCUUCGGGUUGUAAAGCACUUUCAGUGGGGAAGAAAGCCUUGGGGCUAAUACCCUCGAGGAAGGACAUCACCCACAGAAGAAGCACCGGCUAACUCCGUGCCAGUAGCCGCGGUAAUACGGAGGGUGCGAGCGUUAAUCGGAAUUACUGGGCGUAAAGCGCGCGUAGGCGGUCUGAUAAGCCGGUUGUGAAAGCCCCGGGCUCAACCUGGGAACGGCAUCCGGAACUGUCAGGCUAGAGUGCAGGAGAGGAAGGUAGAAUUCCCGGUGUAGCGGUGAAAUGCGUAGAGAUCGGGAGGAAUACCAGUGGCGAAGGCGGCCUUCUGGACUGACACUGACGCUGAGGUGCGAAAGCGUGGGUAGCAAACAGGAUUAGAUACCCUGGUAGUC